rnacentral:snoRNA from 1 species
CCCUGCAUUCGAAAGUGAUCGUGGUCUGACUGUGGCCUGGUCAUCGAUAGUGCAGGGAAAGAAACUCCUGAAAGGCUUUUCCCGUGUUUGAAGGGUCAGCACCCGGCCCUUUUCAAACCCUGUACCUUUCACACA